rnacentral:rRNA from 1 species
ACUCCUACGGGAGGCAGCAGUGGGGAAUAUUGCGCAAUGGGGGAAACCCUGACGCAGCGACGUCGUGUGAGGGAAGAAGGCCUUCGGGUCGUAAACCUCUGUCAGAAGGGAAGAACAUCCGGGAGUCGAACAGCCUCCCGGCCUGACGGUACCUUCAGAGGAAGCGCCGGCUAACUCCGUGCCAGCAGCCGCGGUAAU